GAGAAGAAGAAAGAAACCACUGAAGAAUGAGAGAUGGAGAAAUACGAUGAUUAGGAAUGAUUGAUUAAAAGACCAAUUAUCAUCUCAAUUGGAUUUUCGGCUUUGUGAUAAUCGAUCAUCAACUAAGGAACAAUAAUUUCUUCCACAAGAACUCUAACUUUCAUUUUCAACAGUACCUAUUUCUUCUUCUCCCGACUCAAUCAACUACAGUAUUAUCAGCGUUUCCCUUUGAUUCAACUAAUAAGAACUUUCAAGCGAUCAGGAGAUACGAUUAGUAGACAUGUGAACACGGUGUUGAAAGGAGUUAUUAGGCUUCAAGGAGAGUUGUUAAAAGAACCGGUAGCAGUCUCUACAAGUUCUGUUGACCAGAGAUGGAACUGCUU